CUGCCAUCUUUUGCCCAGCUGUCCUACCUUCUCCUCCAAUCCCAGUACUGUCACUACUUUUCCAAAUGCCCAGCCUUGACUUGGUAACCCUUCCCUGAUAAUCCCACAAUAUUUUGGACUUUUGUCUUGAUCAGAUUCCUGCAAACUGAGAUUGAGAUGGAAAUCCACAUGCAGGUAGUUUAUUGAUGAGUCUGCUCAGGAUCAACACCCAGAAGACAGAAGAAGCAGAUUGGCAGAUUCACCUUACAAGUGGUGAAUUCAGAGUCAACAGGUUCCACCCCGCAACAGGCUGAGUUUCUAAUUUGCUUUUAAGUGUCUCAUUUCAAAGUGUGAGCCUUAGUUGAUGAUCACCAGAACUCCGAGGAAAUUCCCUAACUUGAAAAAUACUGUUGACCCUUUAGCAACAUGGAGUUAAGGGUACCAACCCCCAUGCAGUUGAAAAUCCGCAUAUAACUCUUGACUCUCCAAAAACUUGACUACUAAUAGCCUACUCUUGCCUGGAAGACUUAUCAAUAACAUAAACAAUCACUAAACACUUUUUUAUGUCAUAUGGAUUAUAUAUUCUAUUCCUACAAUAAAGUAAGCUAGAGAAAAGAAAAUGUUAUGAAGAAAAUCAUAAGGAAGAAGAAAUGUGUGUAUCAUUUGUUGAGUGGAAGUGGAUCAUCACAAAGGUCCUUACCCUAGUCAUCUUCACGCUGAAUACGCCAAGGAGAAGCAAGAAAAAGGGUUGAUCUUGCUGGCUCAGGGGUAGCAGAAGCAGAAGAUAAUCCACAUAUUAGCAGACUCAGACAGUUCAGACUCACGUUGUUCAAGGACCAACUGUAAAAGGCCAAAAUAUUAGGAGGGGGAAAAAAAGCAACUUAUAGAAAACUCUGCAGAGAAUAAAAACUUCGAAAGGAAACUAUUACCAACAUCCUCAGACAAAAGGAGAAGUUACUCUAAUUUCUUAAAUAAAAACAAUAUUCUAGCAAAAGGAAAACAAUUAUAAAACAAGAGAGUAAUUACAAAUUCAA
rnacentral:lncRNA from 1 species